rnacentral:ncRNA from 1 species
GUCGUGGUGAUUUGAGCCGACCGGCUUGCGGCCACGUAAAACAAAACGCUAAAAGGUCGGAGGUG